ACAGAGUGGUGGAUUCCUGUGAAAAUUGUGACUGCCUUACUCUUGGGAUUUGAGACUCUGUUCCUGCUCUAUUGCUGGUGGAGACGCAUGGAAAAUGUCUCCCAGGAAGUGCCAACUUCUCCUGAUCAGGGUUCUCUAGGGGUUCCUUGUCCCCUUCUUCAUGGUACAGAAGAGGAGAGCCAGGUGAUCGACCAACCCGAAAUAACAUCAGAGCAAGGGGCAUUGUGUUGUGUGGGGAGGUCCCAGAAGUCUCCUAAAGUCAACGCAUCAACAUGUCCAAGUAGAAAGCAAGAGCGGUUCAGAAAUUGAAAGAGCAAUUGGAGGCGUCUAAUCAGGCUGCGGCUUGAAGCAAAAGUCUCAGACUCUGAAGAGAAGAAAGUUGAGUGGACAGAAAGCCUGUGGGGAGCCCAGGAUGACUCUUCCAGUGUUAUGGAGUCUCAGUAUUUGUACUUCCAAAUAAAAAACUUCCGGCAGCCAAGAAGGCUCCACAUCCAUUUGCACUACUCAGCUGAGCCUUGA